rnacentral:rRNA from 1 species
AUUGAACGCUGCGGCGUGCUUAACACAUGCAAGUCGAUCGGUAACGCGGGGGCAACCCUGGCGACGAGAGGCGGACGGGUGAGGAACGCUUGGGAAUCUGCCUAUCAGCGGGGGACAACACGGGGAAACUCGUGCUAAUACCGCAUACGCUCUACGGAGGAAAGCCGGGGACCGCAAGGCCUGGCACUGAUAGAUGAGCCCAAGCCGGAUUAGCUAGUUGGCGGGGUAACGGCCCACCAAGGCGACGAUCCGUAGCUGGUCUGAGAGGACGAUCAGCCACACUGGAACUGAGACACGGUCCAGACUCCUACGGGAGGCAGCAGUGGGGAAUAUUGGACAAUGGGGGAAACCCUGAUCCAGCGACGCCGCGUGGGUGAAGAAGGCCUGCGGGUUGUAAAGCCCUUUCGGUAGGGACGAAAGCUCUCGACCUAACACGUCGGGAGGUUGACUUAACCUACAGAAGAAGCACCGGCUAACUCUGUGCCAGCCGCCGCGGUAAUAC